CUGCAGAAGAAGCGCCGGGCUAACUACGUGCCAGCAGCCGCGGUAAUACGUAGGGCGCAAGCGUUAUCCGGAAAUAUUGGGCGUAAAGAGCUCGUAGGCGGUUUGUCGCGUCUGCCGUGAAAGUCCGGGGCUCAACUCCGGAUCUGCGGUGGGUACGGGCAGACUAGAGUGAUGUAGGGGAGACUGGAAUUCCUGGUGUAGCGGUGAAAUGCGCAGAUAUCAGGAGGAACACCGAUGGCGAAGGCAGGUCUCUGGGCAUUAACUGACGCUGAGGAGCGAAAGCAUGGGGAGCGAACAGGAUUAGAUACCCUGGUAGUCCAUGCCGUAAACGUUGGGCACUAGGUGUGGGGGACAUUCCACGUUUUCCGCGCCGUAGCUAACGCAUUAAGUGCCCCGCCUGGGGAGUACGGCCGCAAGGCUAAAACUCAAAGGAAUUGACGGGGGCCCGCACAAGCGGCGGAGCAUGCGGAUUAAUUCGAUGCAACGCGAAGAACCUUACCAAGGCUUGACAUGAACCGGACCGCUGCAGAAAUGUGGUUUCCCCUUUGGGGCUGGUUUACAGGUGGUGCAUGGUUGUCGUCAGCUCGUGUCGUGAGAUGUUGGGUUAAGUCCCGCAACGAGCGCAACCCUCGUUCUAUGUUGCCAGCACGUGAUGGUGGGGACUCAUAGGAGACUGCCGGGGUCAACUCGGAGGAAGGUGGGGACGACGUCAAAUCAUCAUGCCCCUUAUGUCUUGGGCUUCACGCAUGCUACAAUGGCCGGUACAAAGGGUUGCGAUACUGUGAGGUGGAGCUAAUCCCAAAAAGCCGGUCUCAGUUCGGAUUGGGGUCUGCAACUCGACCCCAUGAAGUCGGAGUCGCUAGUAAUCGCAGAUCAGCAACGCUGCGGUGAAUACGUUCCCGGGCCUUGUACACACCGCCCGUCAAGUCACGAAAGUUGGUAACACCCGAAGCCGGUGGCCUAACCCCUUUCGGGGAUGGAGACU
rnacentral:rRNA from 1 species